AUACGGAGGGUGCAAGCGUUGUUCGGAAUUACUGGGCGUAAAGCGCGUGCAGGCGGUAAGGUAAGUCAGAUGUGAAAGCCCCGGGCUCAACCCGGGAAGUGCAUUUGAUACUGCCUUUCUUGAGUAUGGGAGAGGAGAGUGGAAUUCCCAGUGUAGAGGUGAAAUUCGUAGAUAUUGGGAGGAACACCCGUGGCGAAGGCGACUCUCUGGACCAAUACUGACGCUGAGACGCGAAAGCGUGGGGAGCAAACAGGAUUAGAUACCCUAGUAGUCC
rnacentral:rRNA from 1 species